UACAGGGGGGGCAAGCGUUGUUCGGAAUUACUGGGCGUAAAGGGCUUGUAGGCGGCCAACUAAGUCCGACGUGAAAUCCCUAGGCUUAACCUAGGAACUGCGUCGGAUACUGGAUGGCUUGAAUCCGGGAGAGGGAUGCGGAAUUCCAGGUGUAGCGGUGAAAUGCGUAGAUAUCUGGAGGAACACCGGUGGCGAAGGAGGCAUCCUGGACCGGUAUUGACGCUGAGGAGCGAAAGCCAGGGGAGCAAACGGG
rnacentral:rRNA from 1 species